rnacentral:lncRNA from 1 species
UGUCAAGAAAGUCUCAUUAUUAUUCAGAUUUACGAAUCAGAACUGAAGUUAAGUGACCUUUCCAAGGUCAUACUGAAAGUAUUUUAUUUGCCAAAACAAAAAGACAAAAAACCCAAAUUCCAUCCCACAAUGCUCGAAUCAUCUGGAGUCCAAUGAAUGCGUGUUACCCAUUGCUCUGAAGGCAGGAGGCAAUACUAACACCUUUCCUGCAGGGUUGUUGCCCUGAAGGUGAAACGUGGCAGUUAAAAAGGGGGGGGUGGGGCAAAAUUCCGCUCGCAGUCACUGCGAGUAACUCCUCCCAGAUGGAUGCUGUGCGGACGGCAAUUGUAAACUCUGGACAAAAGAAUAAUUAUGUGGAGUACCAUCCAGGUCAAUCUCCAAUUACAACCCCAUUCUUCUCUCCAAGAGCACUGACCAUCUCGAUUUUGCAGUAAUGAUUCUCUUGCUCUCAUUUAAAGACUUACUAUUGUGCUGUAUCUGGACAUAUGGGAUGCUUCCAACAGCAUUACAAACAACGCUCCUCUGAACAAUCUUGACUGUAUCUCCUGCUGCAGGUCUUCAGCUUUAAUAAUGUCACACUGUUUUCCACGGUGCUUGCGCCCCUUCGUAUUCCCACCAGCAGUAAACGAGUGCCGAUAGCUCUACAUUUCAACCAACACGUGGAAUUACAAUGCGUUUUAAUUUCUGUUGCCAAUUUUGUGCAUGUAUGAUAGAGAUCUACUUUCCAUCGUGUGGGAUCCUGGAUUUUGUUUCAUGUCCAUGUUCAAUUGUAAAAAUUACACUAUAUGUUUUUAAAAAGCAAAUUUGUCUUUACAAGACCAUUUUAAAAUCUUUGCAUACAAAUAUGUUAGGUGCUUACAGAUUUUUUUCUUCUGAAAAAUUUCCUUAUAAAAAUAGAAUGUGCUAUUCAUCAGCAUGUCCUAUUUUUGGGGCAAAUAUGGAUGGAUGGCAGAGCUAGAAUUUUAACCUGUGUGUCUCUCUUACUCCAGGCUCUUUCUCUUGUCUUUAGGAGAGCAUGGUGGCAGGCAGCUGGUCUUUUCUUGUUUUAUUUUGAUAUAAUUUUAAGCAACUUGCUCUAGUGGGAGCUCCUGAUGGCUGCCCCCUAGUGGACUCCAGCGAGACUGCGCUCACCGGAUUGUAAGACGCUCCCCCUGCCUCACUCUGCUCAUUCCCGCUGAAGGGCAAGGCCUCUGCUCUGUGUUAGCACACUGCUUCCAGCAGAGUGUAAACAAAUCGAUAAUCCCGUGUGGCCACGGGGUAAAGAAGUGACAUUCUUACCCCUGCAGAAGGAGUACACUCUUGGGGACCGAGAUCAAGGUGGGCCUAUAGCGUCACCGCUUUGGUUUCAAAUUUGGUUGGGUAUCAGACUGAAGAGGAACAGCAGGCUUUAACUUAAUACGGUUUCUCAACCUCAGCACUAUUGACAUUUUGAGUUAGAUAACCUUUUGUUGUGGGGGUUGUCCUGUGCAUCGUACGAUGUUUAACAGCAUCCUUGGCCUCCACUCACUAGAUGCCAAUAGCAUCCUUCCUCUAGUUGUGACAGCCCAAAAUGUCUCCAGACAUUGCCAAAUGUCCCUUGGUGGACAAAAUAGGCCCAAUUGAGAAACACUCUUAUAGGGGGAUAGAAAGCAGGAGAUUCAGCUCGCACAGUUCUCCAUCCCGUCAGGAGGGCCAGCAGUACCAGGUACCGCACAGCGUCUGUUGCCCCCUCACCACACAGCGCGUGAGCUGCCCUGACCAGAGCCAAGGUGUGCGUGAGUCACCUUCAUACGGAGAAGCCUUGGCCUUGAUUUAGCACCAAUCUUUUAUGUCAUAUUAGUCACAUGGGCCUGAGACGAGCAUGCAGAUUCAGAGAGCCUCCGAUACAGGUGCAUUUCCACAGGGCAGAAGAAACUGUCACAACACUCCACGCUUCUCCUGCACUGGCAGAACUCAGAGACCUGAGGUCGCUGCCAGGUAGGCCUGCCCCAGCCCAGGCCUGAAACAAAUUAACCCUUUCCUCACACUGCCACAAAACCCCACCAAGCACGGUAGAGUUGGUUUGUUAAGUGCUUCCCCACCUUGCAGAGAUGCUGUCUCGCCACCACCCCACCAAAAAAAGACCAAACCUCAGGCUUCUGUGUUACCAGGACCUGCAUAACCUUGGCAGCCUCCAUCUAAGUCUACUUUCAGCUCCUCCAAUCCCUACAUCCCGAUGAACUUCGUGGGGCCAUCCAAAAUCUAGGCUUCUGGAGUGGCUUGCGGUGGCUUACUUUGCUCGUCCAUUUAAACUCCUUUAUAUCACGUACAUUGGCUGAGUUAAGGUACAUUGCCUAUAUCUGGAAACAUUUGUCAGCCUGUAGAGACAUCUUGAAACGUUCCCUUGAAAGAAAAGUUUGGGGAAAUUCACAGGCCAUGAUUCCACGCCGGUGGGACACCACGAUGCUUUCAAACUCUGGUGGCUUCUUACAUGGCAAAGUAGUCUAGGGAACAUUGGCAGCUGUUGGAAAUGUGCUGGGGGCCAAGGAAAAUCAAAGAGUUGCCCCUCCUUCUUGUUAAAUGCCUCAGACCCUCAGAGAUCCUUACUUUACUCCUCUCCCAGGGCCAUAGAGGAAUUCAGGGGAAACAAUCUUUUACCCCCAGUUUAGGUUGCUGGAAGGAUAACUUGUAAACUUGGAUUUACUGAUGGCCAUUGGGGAGACCCAGCUUGGAACGGAGUUUGUCCAGUGGAGUUCCCCUAGAAGCAGAUCCUGCGACAAGGAUAUUAGCCCUGAGCUAACUACUGCCAAUCCUCCUCUCCCUGCUGAGGAAGACCGGCCCCAAGCCAACAUCCUCCGUGCCCAUCUUCCUCCACUCCAUACAUGGGAUGCCCACCACAGCAUGACACCAAGCGGUGCCAUGUCUGCACCCGGGAUCCAAACUGGUGAACCCCAGGCCGCCGAGAAGCGGAACGUGAGAAUGCAACCGCUGCGCCACUGGGCCGGCCCCUCACUUCUCUUGAAUCGAUGGAACCUGAGUUCGAGCCCUGGUCAACUCUGCCAUUUCCUGUCCAGACUGAUCCCUGGGACCAAGUAUUGGAGAAAAAGGCAAGUCUGCAGUUUACUAAAGCUGUGGACAUCACUUAACAGUUCCGAGGCAGCAGUUCUGAUCAGCAGGAUGGCUCUAAUCUGCAUGAUUUUCCUGGGACCCAAGUUCCUUCCAUCAUGAUGCUUUGCCAUGUUAGGCCACUAACCCUGUAUGCACAGUCAAGGAUUCCAGCCAGUGAGAAAGGGAAAGGACACAGAGGAGCCACGCCCAGGCUCAAGGUCUGGGCACAGAUCACUUCCACUUGAGUCCAUUGGCAAGAACUGAAAUGUCAUAACACCUAACCGCAAGGGAGGCAGGGGACGUGUAGCUCAGCCACGCACCCGGAAAGAAGGAGAGAACGGGUCUGCAGGAGAGCUCAUGGCGUCCAGGGACCCUCCAAGCAAGAGGCAAACCCACCUGGGCAUCUGUCUGCGCACAGUGAGGUCACUUUCCUGUUCAUGAUGUUUCUUCUCCAUGCUUGCCCCUUCGUGUUUCUGUGAGAACAAUGAGGAAGGGAGUAUCAGCUGGCUGCCAACUAAAUAUGCCUGGGCUAGACUGUUGGAUGAUGAGAGACGCAUGGACCCACCAUCUCCCCAGAUGCCAGCCAGCCAGCUCCCAAAGUAGAGCCCCCUGCUGCCUUGGCAGCUGACUGUGGACGCAUGAGCAAGCCCAGCCAGGACCAGCAGAAUUGCUCAGCUGAUCCCAGUCUAAAUUGCUACCUUAUGGAUUGUGAGCUACAAAUAAACGGUGGUUGUUUUAAGCCGUUAAGUUUUGGGGUAGUUUGUUUCACAACAAAAGCGGAGCGUUACGGGAAGUAACCCAGAGAUUAGCAACAGCAGGGAGUCACUGCUAUGUUAGGCUGUAGAGACAAAGGGAGGAGGCAAUAUAGCCAGGGCCCAGAGCUCCCAAAAGAUGAGGAACGAGGCGUAGACAUAUCCCAUGGAGGCUCAGAGGAACAGAGUAGCUGGAGGAGAGGCAGCUGACUGCAGCAGACAGGGGGAAGAAAUACCCUGGCUUUUCGCUUUAUCUGCCCUCCAGUCUCCCACCAGGGCCUGCCAUCAGCUGAGCUCAGCUGGCAGCCAGUUGGGACGAGAGCCUGGAGAUGCAGACUUCAGGAGUCAGCCUUUCUGCAACAGAGAGCAGAGCCGGGGAAGGGCUGGGAAUGGAUCUGAGGGCAAACAGGCCCAGGACUGACACUACACAUCCUUUAGGGGAAAGAAAAGGAAGUGAGUUCACUGAUUGAACUUUCAAAACAGCGCAAUUGCAUUCUCUUCUUUGUGUUUUAUUCCCUGCUCAGGAAUUUAGCUCAAAAUAAAAAUGAAUUCUAGCAACUGGAGAACUGUGAUUGCAAGUGUCUCAACUUUUUACAAAAUAUUCAACCAAGCUGAAUUAGCCUAUUUAUAAAAUGUUGCACCCACAAUGCCCCAUCAAAACGCAAAUCAUCAAAACAGCCUGAAUGACGCUGGAGUUAGGUCAAAAAACACAGAAGUUUUAAAACACCAAUUUGGUUAAUUUUAAUUCAUUCAGCAACCAUUAAAAACUUUUUGUAUGCCGAUCAAGUACAAUGAAGGGUGAUGCCACAGAUUUGCACACACAUCUACACACAGAUAAUUGGAAUAUAGUACAGAUGUUGUCAUUGAGGUAUGAAGGUGGGGGUCAUUUAAGCUGGGUUUUGAAGAAUAAGUUAGAGUUCACCAGAUGGAAAAGAGAAAGAACAGUUUUUCAGGAGGAGUGUGCAAAGGUUCAGAGACAAGAUGUCAUAUUUAAGAAACUAUAAGUACUGUAGCUUGGUGUGGCUGGAACACUGAGUGUGGGAGGAAUAUGGAGAGAGAUGAGGCCAUAGAUGUGGCAGGGGCUAGACCAUAGAGGCCUUAAAUGUUGUGCUGAGGAGUUUGCCCUUUAUAGGCAAUUGGGAGACAUCAGUAUUUUUAUUUUAGUAGAUUUUUGAGAAUUAAAAAUAAUACAUGGGCACAUGUACGGUGACGGAUGGUAAUUAGUCUUUGGGUGGUAAGCAUGAUGUAAUCUACACAGAAAUCGAAAUAUAACGACGUACACCUGAAACUUAUGCAGUAUUAUAAGCCAAUGUUACCUCAAUUAAAAAAAAAUACAUGUUUAUUUUAAGGAGCUGAAAGAUGACAUAAAAGGUGAAAAGAGGUCAUGAUCUCUGCCCUCUUUUAUCCUUGAGGUAGCCAGGGCUAGUAAUCAGGACACAGCUUUCUCUUCUCCAGGGUUGGUUGGUUUUCUUAUUUGCUGUGGCUUGGAGUGCAAAAAAUACACUUAUUACUCUGCAACUUGCUUUUUUCCCUUAACAACAUGUGGACAUCACUCCAGAUGAGUUAGAUUUAACUCAAAUAUUUCUUCAGCCAUUCUCUUACUGGUGGGCAUUCAACUUGUCUGUUUUUAGCAGUUACAAUAAUAUUGUGGUAUGCCUCCUUGACGAUGAGUCUGGGGAUAUUGGGCUCUCGUUUCAGUAAAAUAGAUUCUGGGUCAAUGGAUGUUUGCAUUUUUUAUUUUAAUGGAUGUGUCUCAAUUACUUUUUUAAUAGGUUGCAGCUAUUCCUAUUUCUCAACACUGUCAAACAGAACUGGACAUUAACACUUUUUCACUUCUAAAUUUAGGCAAAUGUAAUGAAUGAAAGAAAGGCUGUAUUGGUUUAAUUUGCAUUUCCUUGACUUCUACUGACACUGAGCAUCUGAUCAUGCUUAUUGACAAUUUGCAUGUUCCCUUAUGUGAAUUGCCAGCUCAUUUUUCUAUUCAGUUGUCUUUUUCUUAUCAACUGGUAAAAGUUCUUUGAAUAUUAGUAAUUGUUAAUUUUUAUCCAUGUGUUUUGCAAAGGUUCUCAUUCCACCUCAGAUUAUCAGUUGCCUUUUUUUUUUUAAAAGUCUUUUUAUUUGGAAAUGAUUAGAAACUAACAGGGUGUUGUGAAAAUGCUAGAGUCCCAUGUACCUUCAGCCAGCUUCUCCCAAAGGUAGCAUCUUACAUAACUAUAGUGCAAUAUCAAAAC